rnacentral:rRNA from 1 species
UAACGCGUAUCGAACCUGCCGCAUACCCGGGGAUAGCCUUGCGAAAGCAAGAUUAAUACCCGAUGUUCUCACUGUUCCGCAUGUUACGGUGAGCAAAGAAUUUCGGUAUGCGAUGGCGAUGCGUCCCAUUAGCUAGUUGGCGGGGUAACGGCCCACCAAGGCUCCGAUGGGUAGGGGUUCUGAGAGGAAAGUCCCCCACACUGGAACUGAGACACGGUCCGGACUCCUACGGGAGGCAGCAGUGAGGAAUAUUGGUCAAUGGACGCAAGUCUGAACCAGCCAAGUAGCGUGCAGGAUGACGGCCCUCCGGGUUGUAAACUGCUUUUAGUUGGGAAUAAAAGGGGGCUCGUGAGCCCCGUAUUGUAUGUACCAUCAGAAAAAGGACCGGCUAAUUCCGUGCCAGCAGCCGCGGUAAUACGGAAGGUCCGGGCGUUAUCCGGAUUUAUUGGGUUUAAAGGGAGCGUAGGCCGGCUUUUAAGUCAGCUGUGAAAGUCCGCGGCUCAACCGUGGAAUUGCAGUUGAAACUGGAGGCCUUGAGUGCACACAGGGAUGCCGGAAUUCAUGGUGUAGCGGUGAAAUGCUUAGAUAUCAUGAAGAACUCCGAUCGCGAAGGCAAGUGUCCGGGGUGCAACUGACGCUGAGGCUCGAAAGUGCGGGUAUCAAACAGGAUUAGAUACCCUGGUAGUCCGCACCGUAAACGAUGAAUACUCGUGU